rnacentral:lncRNA from 1 species
UUCUGAAAUGCAAACACUCAAAGUAUUUGAGUAUGUUUGUUUUUUCGUUUCCUACAAAUUAGUGUAAUUCCAUACGACAUUGACUUGGAAGAGAGCAUUAGCACAAAACUUCUGCUGUUCCUUCCGUCUACUUACACUCUUUUCUGAAAGCAUUCCCAAACGUUCCGGACGUUUUCACUCAGACAAUUUUAAGAAGUUGUAAUUGUCGCCCGAAACAAUCAAAAAGACCAAAGAAAUAAGAAGCCCUCGCCAGGAAAAUUAUGCCACAAAUCAGUCGCGCAACUCAAAGUGAUACAAAAAAACGAAGUAAAUUGCUACGCGAUGAUCAUACCCAUGAUAAAACCCUUUCCAAGAUAUCGUAAUUACGCAUCAAAUUCAGGGCUUAUCAAACAUGAGAGGGGGCAAAAAGUAGACACCUCGAAGAGCUCCAUUUCAAUUCUCAACAAAGCAGCUCAAAAUCUCAGAAGAGGAAGGGAGGAAGAGGAGAGAAGGCGGUACCUGGGGAAUGAAAACCCUGGCGAUAAUCCCAUCAGGAGAUGAUGACAGCGUCGUGGAUCAGGGAAGCAAGAGUGGAAGAGAAGGGCUUCCGAUGGCGGUAGAUGGAAUCGGAUCCUGGUGAAAUAGCGGAAGGCUGAGGGUCGGCGGUGCGGCCGGUAAUUGGAUUGCAUCCGCUUUUUUAGGCU